rnacentral:lncRNA from 1 species
AUAUCCAACAGGUGUUUCCAAUGUGUCUGGCAUGUGGUUGUGCUUCGUUUGGAAUCUGGUUCCAUCGUGUCUGUUGUGUGCGGCUGGCAUGUUGAAGAGAUGGUUCUGCAGUGUCAGAAUCGUUGUUCCACUGUGUCCGGCAGGUGGUUACAGGUGGUUCUGGCAUGCAAUGUAGGUGCUUCUGGUGUGCCUGUUGUGUCACUCUGGCAUGAAUGUGUGGUGGUUUGAGAGUGCGGGCAGGGUGUUUUUGGCAUGUCUCCGGGGGUUUUCUGGCAUCUAAGGGGCUUGAUUCCUUUUUAUACAUCAGGUGAGUUUGUUCUCAGCUUCCUAAAGAGAUGGAAGAAAGAUGGUCUGUGGCUUGUCGUCCCUUGAGGGUUUGAGCCAAUGCAUUGUGCAUUCCAUUUCUAGAGCAAUGGAGGGCAAGGCUGAGAAGAAAGGGGCCUUUCUGACAUAGGUGCUUUCCGACACUCUCUCCACCAGUGCUCAACUGUGGUUGGUGAAAAGCGUAUUGUCUAUCUCCUGCUAAGCACAUGGUUGCACAAUCAUUUGGGACUCAGCCCAGUUGCUUAAGGGGAAGAUGUAGGCAUUUUGUCUGAGCCGGGUUGGCAAGGUGGAAUUGUGGCAGAAGCAGAAGUCCUAAAGCUGCGAGUUAAGGGAUGGGAAGAAAUGCCAUUUGAGCUGCCUUUGUAUGAGAAGUUCCUGGUAUGCUGUAACAGGACUGUGCAAAGCGAGCUGUUUGUCAGCUUCCUAAAGAGCUGGAGACAAGACAGUUUAUGGCUUGUCUCCCAUUGAAGGAUGGAGGCAGUGCUUUGUGCCUUCCACCUCUAGAGCAAUGGAGAGCACGGCUGAGAGUAAAGGGGCUUUUCUGAAAUUGGUGCUUUCUGACACUCUCCCAACCAUUGCACAAGGGUGGUUAGUUAAAAGCCUAUUGUCUGUCUCCUCCUAAGCAGGUGGAACCACAAUCAUUCGGGCUCGUCCCCAUUGCUUAAGGGGAAGUUGUAGGCAUUUCAUCUGAGCCGGGUUGACAAGGUGGAAAUGUGGCACAUGCAGAUGUUCCAGAUCAGCGAGUGAAGUGCUGGAAGAAACGGCGUUCAGCUGCCUUUGUAUGAGAUGUUCCCUGGACGCUGUAAGAUCACUGUUGAAAGUGAGUUCCUUCUCAGCUUCCUAAAGAGAUGGAAGCAAGGUGGUCUGUGGCUUGUCGCCCCUUGAGGGGUGGAGCCAGUACAUUGUGCAUUCCACGUCUAGAGUAAGGGAGGGCAUGGCUGAGAGCAAAGGGGUCUUUCUGACAUAGCUGCUUUCCAACACUCUCUAAAGCAGUGCACAAUGGUGGUUGGAAAAAGGCGUGCAGUCUAUUGCCUCCUAAGCACGUGGACGUUCAGUCCUUUGGGACUCAGCCCAGUUGCUGAAGGGGAAGAUGUAGGCAUUUCGUCUGAGCCGGGUUGGCAAGGUGGAAUUGUGGCAGAAGCAGAAGUUCUAAAUUGGCGAGUUAAGGGAUGGCAAGAAAGGCCGUUUGACCUGCAUUUCUAUGACUGUUUCCCCGUAGGUGGUUCCCAGGAGUCGAGCAGGUGUUUCCGGCAUGCGUGCCAGGUGCAGAAGGCGCGUCCUGCAGGUGGUUCCGGUCUUUCAUGGAAGUGGUCUGGGGGUCCAGCACGUGGUUCUGGCACAUCUGAG